rnacentral:tRNA from 1 species
GGCGGCGUACCCAAGCGGUCUAAGGGGACGGUUUGCAAAACCGUUAUCCGUCGGUUCGAAUCCGACCGCCGCCU